rnacentral:rRNA from 2 species
AAACGACUCUCGGCAACGGAUAUCUCGGCUCACGCAUCGAUGAAGAACGUAGCAAAAUGCGAUACUUGGUGUGAAUUGCAGAAUCCCGUGAACCAUCGAGUUUUUGAACGCAAGUUGCGCCCGAAGCCUUUUGGCCGAGGGCACGUCUGCCUGGGCGUCACG